UCAUGGUUCAGAUGGAACGCUGGCGGCAGGCCUAACACAUGCAAGUCGAGCGGAUGAAGGGAGCUGCUUCCUGGAUUCAGCGGCGGACGGGUGAGUAAUGCCUAGGAAUCUGCCUGGUAGUGGGGGACAACGUUUCGAAAGGAACGCUAAUACCGCAUACGUCCUACGGGAGAAAGCAGGGGACCUUCGGGCCUUGCGCUAUCAGAUGAGCCUAGGUCGGAUUAGCUAGUUGGUGAGGUAAUGGCUCACCAAGGCGACGAUCCGUAACUGGUCUGAGAGGAUGAUCAGUCACACUGGAACUGAGACACGGUCCAGACUCCUACGGGAGGCAGCAGUGGGGAAUAUUGGACAAUGGGCGAAAGCCUGAUCCAGCCAUGCCGCGUGUGUGAAGAAGGUCUUCGGAUUGUAAAGCACUUUAAGUUGGGAGGAAGGGUUGUAGAUUAAUACUCUGCAAUUUUGACGUUACCGACAGAAUAAGCACCGGCUAACUCUGUGCCAGCAGCCGCGGUAAUACAGAGGGUGCAAGCGUUAAUCGGAAUUACUGGGCGUAAAGCGCGCGUAGGUGGUUCGUUAAGUUGGAUGUGAAAUCCCCGGGCUCAACCUGGGAACUGCAUCCAAAACUGGCGAGCUAGAGUAUGGUAGAGGGUGGUGGAAUUUCCUGUGUAGCGGUGAAAUGCGUAGAUAUAGGAAGGAACACCAGUGGCGAAGGCGACCACCUGGACUGAUACUGACACUGAGGUGCGAAAGCGUGGGGAGCAAACAGGAUUAGAUACCCUGGUAGUCCACGCCCUAAACGAUGUCAACUGGACGUUGGGAGCCUUGAGCUCUUCAUGGCGCAACUAACGCAUUAAGUUGACCCCCUGGGGAGUACGGGCGCAAGGAUUAAACUCAAAUGAAUUGGCCGGGGCCCCCCCCAGCGGGGGAAGUUGUGGUUUAAUUUCAAUCCACGCGAAAAACCUUACCCUGGCUUUGCCUCCUAUGAACUUUUCAAAAAUGGAUUGGUGGCCUUCGGAGACUUGA
rnacentral:rRNA from 1 species